AAUCAACGCUGGCGGCGUGCCUAACACAUGCAAGUCGAACGAUUAAAGCCCUUUCGGGGGUGUAUAGAGUGGCGUACGGGUGAGUAACACGUGGGUAAUCUACCUUUGGGUGGGGAAUAACUCAGGGAAACUUGAGCUAAUACCGCAUAAUGCAGCGGCUCGACAUCGAGACCAGUUGUUAAAGAUUUAUCGCCUGAAGAGGAGCCUGCGCCUGAUUAGCUAGUUGGUGGGGAAUGGCUUACCAAGGCUACGAUCAGUAGCUGGUCUGAGAGGACGGCCAGCCACAAUGGCACUGAACACGGGCCAUACUCCUACGGGAGGCAGCAGUGGGGAAUUUGCGCAAUGGCGAAAGCCUGACGCAGCAACGCCGCGUGAAGGAUGAAAUCUUUCGGGAUGUAAACUUCGCAAGUGUGGGAAGAACAUAAUGACGGUACCAC
rnacentral:rRNA from 1 species